CCAUGGAGACGGAGGGACGCGCGAGCGCCCGGCCGUGAGGCGCCGUCCCUCGGCGCGGGGGGUAAAGCCUCCAUGGCCAUGGGAAUUCCCGUGUGCCCAGCCUCCCCCGGCCCUCGAACGCCUUUCCCUGGCUCAACGGGAACGCGUCGUGGAGAACCAGACUUUAAGUAGUUUAUUUAGUACCAGCACUCGUCCCAUAAAGAUCACUUCAUAUUUCCAGGAAGGCUCUACCAACAACUGGACAGACACAAAUGAUACACUGCAGAUAAAACAUGAUAUGUAACAAGCAGAUAAAACUAAGAGGGAAGUAGUUUAUCUUUGUUUUUCAGUUGUUUCUUGCUGACACCUGUUUACUGAAAGAAAAAUUAACCAAAAAUAUGAGUGACAUUGUAUUUCAACUAUUGAUUCCAGUUUUUUUUUAUUCCUUCAGGGCACAGCAUGAGCAAAAUAUAUCAGAAUAAUUCACUCUUUUUUAAAGAUUAAUGACAACAACACAAGUUUCCGCUCCCCUGCCCAAGUGUUUCUUAAAGGACAAAAUACAUAUUUCACAAGGAUUCCUUAAUAAUGAAUUUUUUUUUUUUAUUAUAAGGUUCCCAUAAAACCGUGUAAGACUGUGAUUAAAAAAAUCUUCUGUUCACAGCUCCUCUGACAGGACUGUGUAGAGACCAUCCACAGCAAAGUGGCAUGAAUUGAAGAGUGACACUGUCAUUUUAAUUGGGAUAUUUACAUAUAAACGAAUGAAAGCUAUCUCUGGGACCAGAGGAACAGAAAUUUUGUGAGCAAAGACUCUAGUGCUCAAUAAAUGAAAGAGAAUAUUCUGA